UAGAAUAGACCCAGAAAUGCUCCUACCCAACCAGACACUUUUCCUUGUCAGGUUAACUGUGAAACCCUCAAAACGAUCUGCUGAUAGCUCAAGACAAACAUGCCUGAUGAGAGCUAUUGAGAACAUGAAAUUCAGCAAGUCAUGACAACUAUGCAGCUUGCAUUGGUCUCAACAGGCUCAAAACCACAGCCUUUGGAACGCACCUUCUGCCGUUUCCCAACCCAAACCAUACAGCCACUGCAACUCCACCAGAGCGGUCAUCCCACCACUGAGAAAUGAGGCAGCUGCCAGACAAUGAGUGACAUGAUCUGAGAAUGCAAGCAGCACAACUUCUGGUCAGAAGGGAUUUCAUCUGCAACAAGAAUAUGGCCAGGACUGCUGAAUGCUUCAGCAUCUGAAUCAAGUGGAUUAAUCCCAUUUACAUGAGCAGUGUUCAACCCUGCUCUCCAUGGACCCCUUGUCAGCAUUAGUCAGACAUGGAGCACUCACAGAGGAGGAUAACCAACAGUGAACUCCAACAUGGAGCUUCAGAUGACCACAUCCCAACAGUUCCCAGCAAAGAGAGGAUGCAUGGGCUAAGCACUGCAGCACAUACAGAAGACUCUGUAAAAACAUGCACUAUUCAGCAAACCGUGGAACAUGCAGCUCAGCAAAAUAUCUCCAUCUAUCUCCAGUGAAGCACAUUCUGCUUAUUGAAAAGUACUGCAGAAAGCAAUUCUGAAAUUGUCAUCUGAGGCUAACAUGCAAAAUCAAACAAAGAGAGAAAGAAAUUAUUACCCAUUCCAGUCGACAAACAUCUGCCUGAUUUAUAUCUGUACUCAUGAAUGCUACAGCAUGUGACUGCACACCACGUCGCUGGGAGUCUCAACGUGGUGUGGAUGUCAGCCUUACACAAAAUGAACACUCGGAGCGUUCGCUGCGCGCUGCCCAUCCCCUCCCCCGCCGCCCCAUCACUCAUCCAAACAGGGAUGAGCGGCCGGCGGGAGCGUGGGACGCGCUCCGAGCGCUCCAGCGCUGCUGCCAGCCCUGGCCACGCCGCCCUGCCUUAUUUAUAAACCCCGCUCAACCUUUCAUGUCUUCAUGAUGCCUACGGGGAUUUUUUGGCACACGACCUGCAUGGGAUGGACAGAUCUUUAGCCACGGUCUGCCUCAGCGGUUGUUGAGUUCUUUAAAAAGGUACUGAAGGAGACAGAAAUGUUCCCUCAAUUUACUACACUUUGGCAUACGUAUUAAAAGAUUAACCUUUGAAUGAAAGGAUCCGCAGGCCUGGCCCAACAAAUGGCCAAAGAGGGAUGUGGCUGAGCUACCAUCAAAUAUACUUGCAGGUGAGUUAUUAGUCCUUCCUUUCACUCCUUCAUUCCAUUCUUACUUUUUAACAAAUAAAGAAAUUAGUUCAAGGCUCAAUGCUUUUCAAACACACUUGUUAUCCUGAGUUUUGGCACUGUGCUUUGCAUCACACUAUAAAGCACUGCUAAUGUUUUGCUAAAAGCUUUAAAAGCAAGAAGGCAUUUGUUCCAAAAUUCCAGGUAUAUAAAAAGCUUGCAUAUAAACACUGUUUGAAUUGGAGCUUUCCAUGGCAGAACUGGCACAAACCCACUAUGAAAUGGGGUAUUUGCAUCCUCCCUGUGGCUCAGGAGCUGCAGCAGGGAAGGGCUGUCUGCAGCACACACAAGGACCAUCCCACAUGCCCCAUGGUAUGAUUUUAAAUCACCUAAAGCCACUCCAGAGCUGACACACAAUUAACAAGAAAGCAGCAAUAGGAAUUAUUAUCAGAAGAGAAGGUCUUGGCAUCUAAUAUCUACUCUGUAAAAGAAACGUUUGAUGUAGUCCCAAGUCACACUUGAAACAAAGCCAUUAAUAUUUGCUCCCUAAACCAUUAAAAAUAAAUACAUUAUUUGAAGAUCAUUGCGUUUGAGUGACAUUUGUUUUGUUCAUGUGAGCAAGGAAAUAUGACUAGGACCAAAUAAAGAAUUUACAAGUCACA